rnacentral:lncRNA from 1 species
GACUCUUUUUCUUCUUUUCCCAUAGCCACAACAUCUGGGAAUCUGUUGUCUCACCUGAGGGCAGUAAGUCCCCAAAUCUCAUUCAAGUUCUUCAACAUAAUACCUGGGUAUCACUGCUUAUUAUUCAGGGCCCAAGGGCUCUUCAGUUAGCAGGCGAUGAAUGGUGCCAGGACUCAGUCCUUCUAUUUAAGGUAGCAGGUUUCCUUCUGGCCCAAAGUGUGUCUAGGAAUGUUAUCAAGCAGUUUGGGAAUGUAAAGUGGGCCUCAUACCUCUGACUGGUGCCCUAUCCUUGUGGCUGAGCUGGCAUUCAGGAUGCAAGACAAAGUCCUACCUACUAUUCCCACUCCUCUCCUCAAGCAGAAGAAAUGGGUCUCUUUUGGAGCUAUGAGCUGUGCAGCCUGGGGUUAGGGGAGGGAUGAUGCCAACAAUCCCUUAGCCUCCUUGGCUGAGAUAUGUCAAGUGUCCCGCAGUCCUCUGACUCUUGGCCCAGUUUGUCACUAGGACUCACAUAGGUGUUGCAGCCUAGACUGCCUUUCAAAUUUAUUUACAGCCCAGAGAGCACUUUAGCCCAUGGUGAUGAGGCUUGUGGGAACUCAAGUACUGUCCGCUGGAUUAACAAUUUUCCCCCAGCUAAGGCUUGUUUAAAUACUCCCUCCACAGGUGGGCGUAGGCUGAGUUUGGUCCACUUUUCAUUUCUUUUCUGUUAUAACAGGACAGCACUGAGUUCAAUGCCUCAUGAUUGCUGUGCUUUCUCUACCUCAGUACACAGAAACCUCUCUGGACCACUCUGGCGCUGCUGCCAGGGGAUGGGAAAAGGAUGGUGUCAGUGAUUCAAGACUGUUUUUCUACCUUUUCUGUGCCUGCUUCAGCAAUAUGAAGUUAAAAUCAGAUACCGAGUCUUUCUGAGGAUAUGACGCCAAGAAAAACAGAUGACUUAGAAUGUGGGAAAUGCAAGAUAUGCAAUUCGCUUGGAGGAAAGUGGAAGGUACUCUAUUUGCAACAGAGAGUGGAAGCUGCUAAUGUGCCAAGAAAUUUAUAACUUACAAGUUAAGUUGUCCAUAUAUGAAGUAGACAUCAAAGGAUACAAUAAAGCUGUGGUGUAUAUUUUGAAUUCUAUCAUUGUCAACCUUGUGAAUUUCUAAAAUUUAACUAAGAUACAAAUGUUUAGAUUCUAUUCCUCCAGAGAAGACGAAAGAUGGUU